rnacentral:rRNA from 1 species
GAUCAAGCGCGAGAAGGGCGUUUGGUGGAUGCCUUGGCAGUAAGAGGCGAUGAAGGACGUGAUACUCUGCGAUAAGUCCUGGGGAGCUGAGAAUAAGCUUUGAUCCAGGAAUUUCCGAAUGGGGCAACCCACCUGAAAGUUCGUUAUAAUUACCUCUGGUAGUUUAUAA